UUUAGCCACAAAAGUUUUGUAUCGAAUGAGUAAAUUUAAUGUUGAAAUACCAAUUGAGACACCAAUAAAGAUAUCCGACCAGUUGGACCAAGAUCAAUUUGGUGAUUUGUUAUUAGGAUUAAUUUCCCAAGCCGUAGAUAAAGGCUUUGAUCCAGAGGCUGCCUUAAGGACUGCAGCUAAGGCGUUAAUAAAGAAGAUUGAAUCUGCACAAGCAAGGUAGAAUUACACCAAUAAUUGGGAUUCUAAAGAUUACGGGAGAUAUUUGUGUCAUUAAUUAAAAAUGUCAAAGCAAGAGAAAUUCUAGACUCUCGUGGAAAUCCAACAGUUGAGGUUGAGGUUACUUUAGAUAAUGGAGUAGUCGGUAGGGCAGCAGUCCCUAGCGGGGCAUCAACUGGAGCCUUUGAAGCAGUUGAGUUACGAGAUGGUGGCAAGCGAUACCUAGGUAAAGGUGUUGAGACUGCAGUAAACAAUAUAAAUCAAAAAAUUGCUCAAAUAGUCAUUGGUUUAAAUCCGGAAGAUCAAAGAUCACUUGAUGAAAAAAUGAUUUCCCUAGAUGGAACCAAAAAUAAAUCUAUAAUCGGUGCUAAUGCAAUCUUAGGUGUCUCACUAGCCGCUGCCAGGGCGGCAUCUUUAAACCAAGGCAAGUCACUUUUUGAAUUUAUUGGUGGUAGUGAUGCAAAGGUAUUGCCAGUUCCGAUGAUGAAUAUUUUAAAUGGUGGCGCACAUGCAGAUACUAAUGUUGAUAUUCAGGAAUUUAUGGUGGCACCUAUUGGAGCUAGUAGCUUUAAAGAGUCACUUAGAUGGGGAGCAGAGAUUUAUCACAGUUUAAAAUCUGUCUUAAAGAAAAAAGGAUUAGCUACGAGUAUUGGUGAUGAGGGUGGUUUUGCACCCAACUUAGAAAGCAAUAGAGCCGCCCUUGAUUUAAUUUUAGAGGCUAUAAAUAUUGCAGGCUUUAAAUCAGGUACUGAAAUAGCACUAGCCAUGGAUGUAGCUGCUACAGAGUUUUGCGAAAAGGGUGAAUACAAAUUUGAAGGAAAUAAAUUAUCUUCAGAUCAGAUGAUUUCUUACUAUGCAGAGCUAGUGGCUGCAUACCCAUUAGUGUCUAUUGAAGAUCCAUUGGACGAGGAUGACUGGGCAGGUUGGGCUCAAUUAACUCAAAAAUUAGGCGAGAAAAUUCAAAUAGUUGGUUUAAGUUUGUAGUUGUGCCUGGUAGGUAAAUUUGCCGGGCUUAGAUGAGGGGUGAUAAUGAGGCAGUUUGUUGCCGAAGUGAGUGAUAUCCUGUUUCCCAGUCACGAUAGUAGUUCCAAGAAAAGCCUCUAAGCUUCAGCCAUACAAGACCGUACCGCAAACCGACACAGGUGGACGGGAUGAAUAUUCCAAGGCGCUUGAGAGAACUCAGGAGAAGGAACUCGGCAAAUUGAUACCGUAACUUCGGGAGAAGGUAUGCCUCGGUAGUGUGAAGGGCUCGCGCCCGGAGCAUGAUGAGGCCGCAGAGAAUCGGUGGCUGCGACUGUUUAUUAAAAACACAGCACUCUGCUAAGACGAAAGUCGACGUAUAGGGUGUGACGCCUGCCCGGUGCCGGAAGGUUAAUUGAUGGGGUGCAAGCUCUUGAUCGAAGCCCCGGUAAACGGCGGCCGUAACUAUAACGGUCCUAAGGUAGCGAAAUUCCUUGUCGGGUAAGUUCCGACCCGCACGAAUGGCGUAACGAUGGCCACACUGUCUCCUCUCGGGACUCAGCGAAGUUGAAAUGUUUGUGAAGAUGCAAUCUACCCGCGGCUAGACGGAAAGACCCCAUGAACCUUUACUGUAGCUUUACAUUGGACUUUGACAAGAUUUGUGUAGGAUAGGUGGGAGACUAUGAAGUAGGGACGCUAGUUCUUAUGGAGUCAACCUUGAAAUACCACCCUGAUGUUGUUGAGGUUCUAACCUAGGUCCGUAAUCCGGAUCGGGGACCGUGUAUGGUGGGCAGUUUGACUGGGGCGGUCUCCUCCCAAAGAGUAACGGAGGAGUGCGAAGGUAACCUAGGUACGGUCGGAAAUCGUACUGAUAGUGCAAUGGCAAAAGGUUGCUUGAC
rnacentral:rRNA from 1 species